rnacentral:lncRNA from 1 species
UGGUUCGAAGCAAUGGCGAAGCUAAGACUCGGGGCGAAGGGCGAUUUUGUGGGGAGCGUGUAUAUCACGCUCUGAAAUUAAAAAAAAGAGAGAGAGAGAGAGAGUUGCAGGAGGAAAGAAGAAGAAGAGAAAAGGAGGCGGUGGGAGACAGUUGCAGGCGGUGGGAGACAGUUGCGAUUUUGAGUUUGAUUCAAUUUUUUUAUUUUGAUUUUUUAUUUUUUAAAAUUUUAAAAUUCUAAUUUUUUUUUAUCAUAAUUUUUAUUUUUUUAUUGCAUUUUAAUUAUGUCUUUAAUUUUAUUUUAAUUAUUGUGAUGUUGAAUUUUAAAAAUAAAAAUGUAGAAAUGUGAAUUUUGUGGAAAUGAAGAUCUAAGACCCCCUCUAAGACACAAUGCAUUGGAGAGG